rnacentral:rRNA from 1 species
AUUGAACGUUGGCGGCACGCCUUAUACAUGCAAGUCGAACGAGAAAGCACCUUCGGGUGCGAGUACAGUGGCGGACGGGUGAGUAACGCGUAGGAAUAUGCCCAGUAGUGGGGGACAACUCGGGGAAACUCGAGCUAAUACCGCAUACGCUCCUCUUCUUUGAGGAGGAGGAAAGUGGGGGAUCUUCGGACCUCACGCUAUUGGAGUAGCCUGCGUUGGAUUAGCUAGUUGGUGAGGUAAAGGCUCACCAAGGCGACGAUCUAUAGCUGGUCUGAGAGGACGAUCAGCCACACUGGAACUGAGACACGGUCCAGACUCCUACGGGAGGCAGCAGUAGGGAAUCUUGGGCAAUGGGCGCAAGCCUGACCCAGCGAUGCCGCGUGUGUGAAGAAGGCCCUAGGGUUGUAAAGCACUUUCAGCAGUGAAGAAACGCCGGGAGUUAAUACCUCCUCGGUUUUGACGUUAACUGCAGAAGAAGCACCGGCUAACUCCGUG